CAGCUUCAGCUGAAAAGUUGCAGCAGUUCUGCCUUUUGCCCACCAGACGGUACUGUGGCACUAGAACAGAGCAGCAGUUCCCAGCCAGCC